GCUGACGAGUGGCGGACGGGUGAGUAAUGUCUGGGAAACUGCCUGAUGGAGGGGGAUAACUACUGGAAACGGUGGCUAAUACCGCAUAACGUCGCAAGACCAAAGAGGGGGACCUUCGGGCCUCUUGCCAUCAGAUGUGCCCAGAUGGGAUUAGCUUGUUGGUGAGGUAACGGCUCACCAAGGCGACGAUCCCUAGCUGGUCUGAGAGGAUGACCAGCCACACUGGAACUGAGACACGGUCCAGACUCCUACGGGAGGCAGCAGUGGGGAAUAUUGCACAAUGGGCGCAAGCCUGAUGCAGCCAUGCCGCGUGUAUGAAGAAGGCCUUCGGGUU
rnacentral:rRNA from 1 species